rfam:Myotis brandtii contig166509, whole genome shotgun sequence.
GGUGGUUCUCGGGUGACACCGGAAUCAGGCUCCCUUCUCUCUGGUUCCAGGUGCGUCACCUGAGAACCACA